GCAAAUGAAUAAAUGUUAAUAAUAGAGGUAAAGGGUAAUGGGUUUUAAAAAUAUUUUCAUUUUAGCAACUUGUAUGUAGGUUUGAAAUUAUUUCCAGAUAAGGACUAAAAAGAUAAUAGGGCCAAAAUAUUCUAUGAGAUGGAGGAAAAUAAGCGAGGGUAAAGAUUAAAUAAGACCGACCAUAAAUUGAUGACUACUGAAGCCGAGUGGUUUAUUAUAAAGAGGUUUAUUAUACUUUUCAAUGUAUUUGAGUAUUCCCAUAAUAAAGGAAGGUAAACAGUGAGGAGAUUGAACUUGAAGACCCCCCAUGUCUCUUACAGUUCAAUGGUCUAUUUGAGUGUAGUGGAUGAUAUAUGAUAUAAAUUUGAGUUUCCUUGGUUCAAGUUUUUCCUCCAAAAAUUGGGGAAAAUAAUUUCUACUAGUAAGAUUAUUUGCUACUGUUUAGUCAUUAAGUCAUAUGCGACUCCAUGGACUGUAUCCCGCCAGGCUCCUCUGUCCAUGGGAUUUCUCAGGCAAGAAUACUGGACUGGGUUGGUUGCCAUUUCCUUCUCCAGUGGAAAUUCCUGGAGCUAAUAAUCCUAUUGGGCUUCCCUUGUGGCUCCGUGGUAAAGAAUCCCCGUCAAUGCAGGAGACAUGGGUUCAAUCCCUGGCCCAGGAAGAUCCACAUGCUGAGGGGCAAUUAAGCCCAUGUGCCACAACUAUUAAGCCUGUGGUCUAGAGCCCGGGAACCACAAUUACUGAGCCCACGUGCCCUAGAGUCCAUGCUCUGCAACUAGAGAAAAGCCCGAGCAGCAGUGAAGACCCAGUACAGCCAAAAAUAGAUAAAAGUUUAAAAAUAGGAUUAUUAACGUUGUUUUACACAUGUUAAAGUUGUUAGCACGUUGUCUAGCACAUCCAGUUGUUCAAUAUGUGUCAGUAAUAACUAUGACUACCGGAUGAAUAAGUAAAAUAUAAAGAUUAAUUUCCACUUGAUGGUUAAAAGAUGGAGUAUCGUCUCCCGAAGUUUGUUGGUAAGGAAGUAGACCUGCAUAACCACGAUCAUUAUCGGCAUGAGAUAGUACUGGAAUAGGUUCAUUUCGGGUGCUGCAGAAAGAUAACGUCCUUAUGAUUAAUUAGGUUGUUGUUAUUGUUCAGUCGCUCAGUUGCGUCCGACUCUCUGCGACCCCAUGGACUACAGCACGCCAGGCUUCCCUGUCCUUCACCAUCUCCCAGAGUUUGCUGAAACUCAUGUCCAUUGAGUCAGUGAUGCCAUCCAACCAUCUGUCUUCUGUCAUCCCCUUCUCCUCCUUCCUUCAAUCUUUCCCAGCAAGCAGGAUCUUUAGUUGCACCAUGUGGGAUCUAGCUCCCUGACCAGGGAUCUAACCCAGGAAUAAAGUCUUCUUCUUAAGGUCCGAGAACUGUUACUUGCUCACGUUUGGUUUUUCCUGUGCACCCCUUUACAAUGGUAUUUAUCCCCACUUUGCUAGGGUUACAUAAUUAUGCAGAUCAGCAUCGUGGGCCUUUUUCCCUGGACAGUACUUUCUGGAACUGCUAGACUUCCAGAUGAGAACUGUUUAUUCUGGAUCAGACUUAAUUUGGUCAGCUGAAGUCUCUUGGGUAUGGAGAGUUUUUCUUACCCUUGGCCUACUUUUUGUGGUGCUAAAUAUCCUCUUACAGUUUCACCAAGUACUUUGUAACAGAAAAUAGUUGAAAGCACUGCUUUCUUAGUUUCUCUGGCUGUAUCACUGCAUCAGUUACAUGGUGCUUCUUGGUAAGUCACAACCACAGAGGAAGGAAAGGAGGGUUUUGUUCAUGUCACAAGUGCCUACUAUGUGCCAUGCUCCUGUCCUCAUGGUUCAUCACAAAACUGGAACAGUAAGGAUGGUGAUGGAAAUAUAUUUAGGUCCCAGCAGGGCAGAAAGGCACUGGAAGCCCGAGGCUCUAACUACCAUUCAAUGAGUUCUUUAGGGCUUCCCUCGUGGCUCAGUGAUCAAGAAUCCACAUGCCAAUGUAGGGGACGCAGGUUUUAUUCCUGGGUUGGGAAGUUCCUCUGGAGAAGGAAACGGCAACCCACUCCUGUACUCUUGCCUGAGAAAUCCCACGGACAUAGGAGCCAGGUGGGCUAUAGUCCAUGCAGUCGCAAAAGGGUCUGAUGUGACUUAGCUACUAAACAAUGAGUUAU
ensembl:lncRNA